rnacentral:rRNA from 1 species
ACGAACGCUGGCGGCACGCUUAACACAUGCAAGUCGAACGAGAGAAGAGAAGCUUGCUUUUCUGAUCUAGUGGCGGACGGGUGAGUAACACGUGAGCAAUCUGCCUUUCAGAGGGGGAUACCGAUUGGAAACGAUCGUUAAUACCGCAUAAUAUAAUUGAACCGCAUGAUUUGAUUAUCAAAGAUUUAUCGCUGAAAGAUGAGCUCGCGUCUGAUUAGCUAGUUGGUAAGGUAACGGCUUACCAAGGCGACGAUCAGUAGCCGGACUGAGAGGUUGAUCGGCCACAUUGGGACUGAGACACGGCCCAGACUCCUACGGGAGGCAGCAGUGGGGAAUAUUGCACAAUGGAGGAAACUCUGAUGCAGCGAUGCCGCGUGAGGGAAGAAGGUUUUAGGAUUGUAAACCUCUGUCUUCAGGGACGAAAAAAGACGGUACCUGAGGAGGAAGCUCCGGCUAACUACGUGCCAGCAGCCGCGGUAAUACGUAGGGAGCGAGCGUUGUCCGGAAUUACUGGGUGUAAAGGGAGCGUAGGCGGGAUCGCAAGUCAGAUGUGAAAACUAUGGGCUUAACCCAUAAACUGCAUUUGAAACUGUGGUUCUUGAGUGAAGUAGAGGUAAGCGGAAUUCCUAGUGUAGCGGUGAAAUGCGUAGAUAUAUGGAGGAACACCGGUGGCGAAAGCGGCUCUCUGGUCUGUAACUGACGCUGAGGCUCGAAAGCGUGGGGAGCAAACAGGAUUAGAUACCCUGGUAGUCCACGCCGUAAACGAUGAUUACUAGGUGUGGGGGGACUGACCCCUUCCGUGCCGCAGCAAACGCAAUAAGUAAUCCACCUGGGGAGUACGACCGCAAGGUUGAAACUCAAAGGAAUUGACGGGGGCCCGCACAAGCAGUGGAGUAUGUGGAUUAAUUCGAAGCAACGCGAAGAACCUUACCAGGUCUUGACAUCGUAUGCAUACCUUAGAGAUGAGUGAAAUCUCUUCGGAGACAUAUAGACAGGUGGUGCAUGGUUGUCGUCAGCUCGUGUCGUGAGAUGUUGGGUUAAGUCCCGCAACGAGCGCAACCCUUACUGUUAGUUGCUACGCAAGAGCACUCUAGCAGGACUGCCGUUGACAAAACGGAGGAAGGUGGGGAUGACGUCAAAUCAUCAUGCCCCUUAUGACCUGGGCCUCACACGUACUACAAUGGCUGUUAACAGAGGGAUGCAAAGCCGCGAGGUGGAGCGAACCCCUAAAAGCAGUCUUAGUUCGGAUUGUAGGCUGCAACCCGCCUACAUGAAGUCGGAAUUGCUAGUAAUCGCAGAUCAGCAUGCUGCGGUGAAUACGUUCCCGGGCCUUGUACACACCGCCCGUCACGCCAUGGGAGUCGGUAACACCCGAAGCCUGUAGUCUAACCGCAAGGAGGACGCAGUCGAAGGUGGGAUUGAUGACUGGGGUG